UACGUAGGGUGCAAGCGUUGUCCGGAUUUAUUGGGCGUAAAGAGCUCGUAGGCGGUUAGUCACGUCGGAUGUGAAAACUCAGUGCUUAACACUGAGCCUGCAUUCGAUACGGGCUGACUAGAGUGUUGUAGGGGAGACUGGAACUCCUGGUGUAGCGGUGAAAUGCGCAGAUAUCAGGAAGAACACCGGUGGCGAAGGCGGGUCUCUGGGCAACUACUGACGCUGAGGAGCGAAAGCGUGGGGAGCAAACAGG
rnacentral:rRNA from 1 species